rnacentral:rRNA from 1 species
CCUACGGGUGGCAGCAGUGGGGAAUAUUGCACAAUGGGGGAAACCCUGAUGCAGCAACGCCGCGUGAGUGAUGACGGCCUUCGGGUUGUAAAGCUCUGUCUUCAGGGACGAUAAUGACGGUACCUGAGGAGGAAGCCACGGCUAACUACGUGCAAGCAGCCGCGGUAAUACGUAGGUGGCGAGCGUUGUCCGGAUUUACUGGGCGUAAAGGGAGCGUAGGCGGACUUUUAAGUGAGAUGUGAAAUACUCGGGCUCAACUUGAGUGCUGCAUUUCAAACUGGAAGUCUAGAGUGCAGGAGAGGAGAAUGGAAUUCCUAGUGUAGCGGUGAAAUGCGUAGAUAUCUGGAGGAACAUCAGUGGCGAAGGCGACUAUCUGGCACAUAACUGACGCUGAGGAGCGAAAGCGUGGGUAGCAAACAGGAUUAGAUACCCGUGUAGUC